rnacentral:rRNA from 1 species
AGAGUUUGAUCAUGGCUCAGAUUGAACGCUGGCGGCAGGCCUAACACAUGCAAGUCGAACGGUAACAGGAAGCAGCUUGCUGCUUCGCUGACGAGUGGCGGACGGGUGAGUAAUGUCUGGGAAGCUGCCUGAUGGAGGGGGAUAACUACUGGAAACGGUAGCUAAUACCGCAUAAUGUCGCAAGACCAAAGAGGGGGACCUUCGGGCCUCUUGCCAUCGGAUGUGCCCAGAUGGGAUUAGCUUGUUGGUGGGGUAACGGCUCACCAAGGCGACGAUCCCUAGCUGGUCUGAGAGGGUGACCAGCCACACUGGAACUGAGACACGGUCCAGACUCCUACGGGAGGCAGCAGUGGGGAAUAUUGCACAAUGGGCGCAAGCCUGAUGCAGCCAUGCCGCGUGUAUGAAGAAGGCCUUCGGGUUGUAAAGUACUUUCAGCGGGGAGGAAGGGAGUAAAGUUAAUACCUUUGCUCAUUGACGUUACCCGCAGAAGAAGCACCGGCUAACUCCGUGCCAGCAGCCGCGGUAAUACGGAGGGUGCAAGCGUUAAUCGGAAUUACUGGGCGUAAAGCGCACGCAGGCGGUUUGUUAAGUCAGAUGUGAAAUCCCCGGGCUCAACCUGGGAACUGCAUCUGAUACUGGCAAGCUUGAGUCUCGUAGAGGGGGGUAGAAUUCCAGGUGUAGCGGUGAAAUGCGUAGAGAUCUGGAGGAAUACCGGUGGCGAAGGCGGCCCCCUGGACGAAGACUGACGCUCAGGUGCGAAAGCGUGGGGAGCAAACAGGAUUAGAUACCCUGGUAGUCCACGCCGUAAACGAUGUCGACUUGGAGGUUGUGCCCUUGAGGCGUGGCUUCCGGAGCUAACGCGUUAAGUCGACCGCCUGGGGAGUACGGCCGCCAGGUUAAAACUCAAAUGAAUUGACGGGGGCCCGCACAAGCGGUGGAGCAUGUGGUUUAAUUCGAUGCAACGCGAAGAACCUUACCUGGUCUUGACAUCCACGGAAGUUUUCAGAGAUGAGAAUGUGCCUUCGGGAACCGUGAGACAGGUGCUGCAUGGCUGUCGUCAGCUCGUGUUGUGAAAUGUUGGGUUAAGUCCCGCAACGAGCGCAACCCUUAUCCUUUGUUGCCAGCGGUCCGGCCGGGAACUCAAAGGAGACUGCCAGUGAUAAACUGGAGGAAGGUGGGGAUGACGUCAAGUCAUCAUGGCCCUUACGACCAGGGCUACACACGUGCUACAAUGGCGCAUACAAAGAGAAGCGACCUCGCGAGAGCAAGCGGACCUCAUAAAGUGCGUCGUAGUCCGGAUUGUAGUCUGCAACUCGACUCCAUGAAGUCGGAAUCGCUAGUAAUCGUGGAUCAGAAUGCCACGGUGAAUACGUUCCCGGGCCUUGUACACACCGCCCGUCACACCAUGGGAGUGGGUUGCAAAAGAAGUAGGUAGCUUAACCUUCGGGAGGGCGCUUACCACUUUGUGAUUCAUGACUGGGGUGAAGUCGGAACAAGGUAACCGUAGGGGAACCUGCGGUUG